rnacentral:rRNA from 1 species
UACGUAGGGCGCAAGCGUUGUCCGGAAUUAUUGGGCGUAAAGAGCUCGUAGGCGGUCAGUCGCGUCUGCUGUGAAAACUCGAGGCUCAACCUCGGGCUUGCAGUGGGUACGGGCUGACUAGAGUGCGGGUAGGGGUGACUGGAAUUCCUGGUGUAGCGGUGGAAUGCGCAGAUAUCAGGAGGAACACCGAUGGCGAAGGCAGGUCACUGGGCCGCAACUGACGCUGAGGAGCGAAAGCAUGGGGAGCGAACAGG